ACGCGCGGCCCGGGCUUGACCAGCCAACCUUCGCGCUCCGCCUCCGGCUCCAUCUUGAGCUCUUAACCCGCGUGUCAGAAACCAAAAGCACCGUGAAAAAUCUCUCGCAUUUCCCCGGCGGUCAUUUUCCGGGUUCCUAAAAAGUUCGUGAGAUUUGUCGAGCUCAGGCGCCGAGGAUUCGUCCAACGGUGGAAAAUAUUGGGGGCGGGCAGACGAGGAAUUUACUUGUCAAAGUCUCGGCCGGUGACGGUCGCCUGUCCACUGUCGGAGCACACGAGUAGCGAAGAGAAAUGUGUGAAACGGAGUGCGGUGACUUGGAUGCAUGGCAAUUGGAGACUUCGAACCGGUGGCCCAAGUCAGCGGGUGCAGAGUAGCUGGCCACUGCUAGUUUGGUUGCCGCGGUUGGUACUUGGACACUGUGGAUGCAAUUCCACCGCAGAAUUUAGUAUAUCCGGUGUUGCGCCAGCUAUAUAUGCAACCGCACUGUUUCUUGUUCAUCUGCCCCCGACAUCUAGAAAACCAUUUUGACGGCACAUGCUUGAAAUUUUAUAGUAUUCCUUUUUUCCCCUUUUACAACAGGCUGGUCCGGCUGUGACGUUGUGCAGACACCAGAAGUUCUGUUGCAGAAAAACUUACAAGCGUCAGAUCUGACGACGCUAAAAAGGAGCAGGGUCGUUUUUCAGACGGCUCGUGUACAGCUGCACAUGAACUGAGCCCGCCUAGACUCAAACAAGUCGGGAAGUUCACUCCAAGUCAGGCAGCCGCGAUCUACACAAAUAUGCAGUGCUACUACUGUUCAAAUCGACAUCCCAUUUGUUAAUCAUUUCUUCUUCUUGGCGUCUGUUGUAGUCAAGCUUCUAAGGUAAUCAUUUUACCACCGCUGCACCCGCUGAGCAAUAAAAUCUGAGGAAACAUCUAGCAAAACCGUCCAGGACUCCCUGCUGGAUAAGUAGGGAUGCAAGCGGGAACAUAUAUGUACCAUUUUAGUAAUCUUUAAUUUUUCAAAUCAAAUGGCGAGAAAUUUUAAACUAGCAAAUCUCCAGUGAUCUACAAGCGAGACCUAAACAUAAACAGGAUCCCCCAUACAUCUCAGGAUUUGUUUUUAGAAAGCAUGUAUCGGUUUAGCAAGUAGCCAUGGCAAGAAUCGAAAUCGAGAAAAA